rnacentral:rRNA from 1 species
UACGUAGGGGUGCAAGCGUUUAAUCGGAAUUACUGGGCGUAAAGCGUGCGCAGGCGGUUUUGUAAGUCUGUCGUGAAAUCCCCGGGCUCAACCUGGGAAUUGCGAUGGAGACUGCAAGGCUAGAAUCUGGCAGAGGGGGGGUAGAAUUCCACGUGUGAGCAGUGAAAUGCGUAGAGAUGUGGAGGAACACCGAUGGCGAAGGCAGCCCCCUGGGUCAAGAUUGACGCUCAUGCACGAAAGCGUGGGGAGCAAACAGG